ensembl:lincRNA
CCGAGCAGGAAUGCAAUCACACAGACAGUACCAGAUGGCGACAGCUUCAGAAAUCCAGGUGGUUGCAACAGUGUUUUAUUGAAAGAAGCAGUGAAGUUGGUUCACACGGGCCCCCUCCACCCCGAAACCAUGCAGGGGCAAAUGCUGGGCAAGAAUGUGUGUGUGUUUGGGAUAGGAGCCCUGGUUGGAGUUCUUUCUCUAAGAGGAAGGAGGGGAGAGGGGAGAAGCAGGUGUCACCAUGAGGGAGGUGGGGUAUCUCGCUGCUCUGGCCUCAGGUGCAGACCUACACAGAACCAUCAAAGUGGACUGUCUCAUACUGUACACACUCACAGGCCACGAUGAUGAAUUUCUCUUGCUGCUUGGUCUCGUAGUCGCAUUUGGGGUAUUUGGAGCCUUUCUUCAGGCGGCAGUCGGUGAUGCGCAUUUUGGAACUGCUUUGGUGGCAGUUGGGCUUCCCGUUCUUGCAGGUUACAUUUCCCUGGAAGCAGAUGACCUGGACAUCUGGCAGAGGCUCGUGGAUAAACGUGUUCACCGGCUUGCAAAAUCCAACUGUCAUAUUCCGGCGCUUCAUCAUUUGGUUGCAGUAGCUGGCAUUGACGGUGGAGGUGUUCGAGUCUAUGUGCUGCCGCAGGAACUUCUCGGCCCUCGACUCCUUGGCCAGAGAAGGCUGGACACUGCGAGAACCAGCAGCACCAGAACCAGUAGUGGGAUGAAGAACCUCUCCUGAGCCAUGGUGGUCUCACUCCUCUGGAAGAGCCUAGCCAGGGAAGGGAGAGAAGAGAAAAAGCGCUGCCUGAGAAAGAACCCCAGCUCCUACCUGUGGCCUCCCUGGCUCACAGUCUCCGUUUGGGUCAGCCGGAAAGGUACCCCUCCUCCUGUGCAAUUUUCCAAGGAUUGAGAUGCUCACAUAGACUCUUGUUGAAGAGUAUUUAAGUCCUACUAGCUGGAGAGAGGUGGUCUUUCCCUCUGGUUGGUGACUUGACAGUGAACUAAAAUCCUGCAGUCCUAUGUCUGAAUAUUAGAGAUUUUAAAAUUUAAAAUCUAUUUGAGGGGGCACCUGGAUGGCUCAGUCUUUUAAGUGUCUGCCUUGAGUUCAGGUCGUGAUCUGAAGUCCUAGGAUCUAGUCCUGUCUCGAGCUCAGCUCCCUGGUCACUGGGGAGCCUGCUUCUCCCACUCCCUCUGCUGCCCCCUCUGCUUGUGCUUUCUAUCUAUCCCUGUCAAAUAAAUAAAUAAAAUCUUAAAAACAUUAAAAAAAUUAAAUACAUUUGAAGAAUGAGUACAUUUAUACCCAGUGCUCAAGGUGCUUAUCAGGAAAUCCUUUUGAAUAAAACAUGAGCUGAACUGUAUCCCUGAAAUACCACAUGGCCUAUAGGAUCAUGACGGACAGAGUGAGGCCUAUUGAUCUCCAACACAAGGGCAACAGCCCAGUUCCUAACACCAGUAUCAUAGAGGGAUGCCAUUGUAUUCCCAAGAGCAAUGCUUCCCUCCCCCAGUGCCUUUGUUUCCCUGCAGCCCACAUACUCCAUCCCAUAUUGGUCCAGCUCAAGUUUUUUCAGGUGCUAACCUCAACCACCCUGGUCCCUCUAACCCAACACAGAAGAAGAAGGAGUCCCUGAGAUCAUCUCUUCAGCCACUGACCUGGAUCUCUAGCUUGGUCCCUAGGACAGAGCAGAAGGCCAGUCUCUGUGAUCCCGGGAUCCCUGGGGAGGGAAUCUUAUACAGAUUACAAAGGGGCUUGGCUUCCAAGGAAAGAUAGGUGGGAGGAGCAUCUUGGUUUCACUUUAGUGGGAACCAAAGACAUUGUGAGGAAGGACAUUGUAGGGAACCAUCCACACCACUCUAUUUUCAGGACUGCUGGGAAGGGUGAGUCUUGUUUAUAGGAACCGUACCAUGUGAACCUCAUCUGUCUGCUGGCUCACAAGGAGCAGCAAAGAAAGCCACUACGGUAAUGAUGCCUGAACUGCAGCAAAGUCCUUGUCAUCUCAGGGGGCCAUUUGCAUCAAACAAAUAACUCUUGCAGGUUUGCAAAGGACACAUAAACACGUGAUCCCCAGAGCACCAGAGAAAUGGAGGUCCUCUGUCUCCCCAGGAGUCCUGGUGUGACUGGAAUUCCAACAGCACCUCUUCUGGUGUGGGGGGCAUUCUGCUUUCUGCAGCUGGAAGACUGCAUGGACCUAGGGUGUGUGUGUGGGGGGUCUGGGCUGGGAGAGGAGGAGACCUGCGACCUCACCCAGUGUUGGCCACUUCAGCACUCCUGCGUGUGGAAGGUGGAUGGUUACAGUUCUUGGCCACAGCAACCACUCCUAGAAGGUCAGAGUGGAGGAGAGGAACUAAAGUUAACAAAACCCCAAGGGAUGUCAGGCUGGCUCAGUCACCAAGGCACGGGACAAAUCUUAUGACUUUGCUUCUGUAUCCAUGUCCUGAAACUGUGCCCUGGGCUUUUCACUUCCUGAAAGUGGCAGCUGGAAUGCUGAGGGUGUAACCUGACCAUGUGAAUGGCUUUUCCCCUCGUUAGCACACCAUAAUCUUAAUUCAAUACACUGGCUUUGAUUUCUCAACACACCAACAUAGAAUUAUUUACUCUGGCACUUAGAAAUGAAUAAAAUAAGGCAUUUGCUGACAAA